rnacentral:tRNA from 1 species
GAGAUAUUAGUAAAAUUAUUACAUAACUUUGUCAAAGUUAAGUCAUAGGUCAAACCUAUAUAUCUUU